GGGUAGUGGCGCAACGGUAGCGCAGUGGACUCCAGAAUUUGGUCAUCCAAAGGCUAUCGGUUCAAAUCCGGUCUACC
rnacentral:ncRNA from 17 species